rnacentral:lncRNA from 1 species
AAAAAAAAAAACCGCCGCUCUGGGGCAGUGUUCGGACUCAGCUUGAGCGUUGGAGGACAGGAGAGGAAAAGGGGGAGGGGGAGGAAAGCUUCUUUCCGACGCCCCCUCCACCAACCUCCCCCGGCAGGGCAGCACCACUGACCUCAUUCGCCCAACUGUAUCCAGGCCUGCUGGGCUCCAGGCCAGUGGGGCGCUUCUCUCUCCACCUCCAGGGAAUUCGAGGGUGAGAGGGGUGUCUGCUUUCCCCGAUUCCAGCAGGAUCCCCAAGCGCUCCGGGCGCCCCGGCCCGGGCCCGGUGGCCAGGACUCGGUAGAUCCAGUCGCCUCUGGUUGCUGAGAUAGUUUCGCACACCCCACACUGGCCUCAAACUCUCUAUGUAGUUGAAGAUGACCUUGCACUUCUGACCCUCUACUUCCCAAAUACUGGGAUUACAGAUCGCCGCCAUCAUGGACACGAGUCGCGUGCAGCCCUUCAAGCUGGCUAGGGUAACCAAAGUGCUGGGCAGGACCGGUUCGCAGGGACAGUGCACGCAGGUGCUAGUGGAAUUUAUGGAUGACACCAGCCGCUCUAUCAUCCGAAAUGUCAAAGGUCCCGUAAGAGAGGGUGACGUGCUCACCCUAUUGGAGUCAGAAAGAGAAGCUCGAAGGUUGCGUUGAUCUUGCAGCUGGGUUCUGGAUAUCCACUACUUAGCCCACGGAAUGAUCUGCAACUGUUAAAUAAAGCAUUUAUAUUAAUU